rnacentral:tRNA from 1 species
GCGGGGGUAGCAUAGAUUUGGUAAUGCGCCGGGAGACCAUCCCGGAGAUGGUGGUUCGAAACCGCCCUCCCGCCCCA